CCACGCUUGACGGGGUGCCGUUGAAAACGGCUGAGAUCAUGCAGCGCAGCGCGCCGAAGCAUGGAUCCCGUUGAACCUGAACUGGCUAGGACCAGCGUAGGGAUCAAGCGACACGCAGCC
rfam:Halomonas sp. 1513, complete genome.